UAAUAAUAAUAAUAAUAAUAAUAAUAAUAAUGUUAUAUUUUUCUUUUUGGGCUCCUUAAUUUCUAUUUCUUCUCUUUUUUUGUAUAUUUAAAUCUAUUCUGUGUCACCUUUGUCCAGCAGGAUUCAAUUCCAGCAGCUUGAAAACUGGCUUAAAAAUUAAAGACAUUGUUUUGAGGGAUAAAAUAAUUCCUUUAAAGCCCCAUUUGCACCCUUUCCAGGCAGAUUUUUCCCUCUUUCCAGGCAGACUUUUCCCCCUUUUUAGGAAAUUUUUCCCCCUUUCCAGGCAGAUUUUUCCCUCUUUCCAAGCAAUUUUUUCCCAUUUCCAGGCAAAAUUUUUCCCCCAAAUCCCAGUGAUGCCCCCNAAUCUGUGAGGUGAAAAUUUUAAAAAUGGAAACUUGUGAGGUGGGAAUUGGGAAAAGGAGGGCCUGGGAGGUGGAAAUUGGAAAAAAAAUGUAAUCUGUGAGGUGAAAAUUUAAAAAUGGAAGCUUGUGAGGUAGAAAUUGGGAAAAGAUUGGGAAAAGGGGAACUUGUGAGGUGGAAAUUGGAAAAAGAGGAGCCUGUGAGGUGAAAAUUGGAAAAAAGGGGAUCUGUGAGGGGAAAAUUUUAAAAAUGGAAGCAUUUGAGGUGUGAAUUGGGAAAAGGAGGGCCUGGGAGGUGAAAAUUGGAAAAAAGGGGAAUCUGUGAGGGGAAAAUUUUAAAAAUGGAAGCCUGUGAGGUGGAAGUUGGGAAAAAAUUGGGAAAAGGGGAACUUGUGAGGUGGAAAUUGGAAAAGUGGGAACUUGAGGGGUGGAAAUUGGAAAAAGAGGAGCCUGUGAGGUGAAAAUUGGAAAAAGGGGAAUCUGUGAGGGGAAAAUUUUAAAAAUGGAAGCCUGUGAGGUGUGAAUUGGGAAAAGGAGGGCCUGGGAGGUGGAAAUUGGAAAAAAGUGCAAUCUGUGAGGUAAAAAUUUAAAAAAAAAUGGAAACCUGUGAGGUGGAAAUUGAAAAAAGGGGGAAUCUGUGAGGGGAAAAUUUUAAAAAUGGAGGCUUUUGAGGUGUGAAUUGGGAAAAGAUUGGAAAAGGGGAACUUGUGAGGUGGAAAUUGGAAAAGGGGGCAAACUUGAGAGGUGGAAAUUGGAAAAAGAGGAGCCUGUGAGGUGGAAAUUGGAAAAAAGGGGAAUCUGUGAGGGGAAAAUUUUAAAAAUGGAAGCAUUUGAGGUGUGAAUUGGGAAAAGGAAGGCCUGGGAGGUGGAAAUUGGAAAAAAAUGCAAUCUGUGAGGUAAAAAUUUAAAAAAUGAAAGCUUGUGAGGAGGAAAUUGGGAAAAGGGGAACUUGUGAGGUGGAAAUUGAAAAAAGGGGGAAUCUGUGAGGGGAAAAUUUUAAAAAUGGAGGCUU
rnacentral:lncRNA from 1 species